GUCAGGAUGGCCGAGCGGUCUAAGCCGCCCGACUCAAGUUCGGGUCUCCGAAUGAAGGCGUGGGUUCGAAUCCCACUUCCGACA